UACGUAGGGGGCGAGCGUUGUCCGGAUUUAUUGGGCGUAAAAGGCUUGUAGGUGGCCACGCCAAGUCGGAUGUGAAAUCUCCCGGCUCAACUGGGAGGGGUCAUUCGAUACUGGCGGGCUCGAGGUCGGUAGGGGGAAGCGGAAUUCCGGGUGUAGUGGUGGAAUGCGUAGAUAUCCGGAGGAACACCAGGAGGCGAAGGCGGCUUCCUGGACCGAUUCUGAC
rnacentral:rRNA from 1 species